rnacentral:tRNA from 1 species
GUUGAUGAAUUGCCACCAAUGCACGACUCAAAAUCGUGUUCCCUUGCAGGAGUGUGGGUUCGACUCCCACCAUCGGCA